rnacentral:rRNA from 1 species
AUUGAACGCUGGCGGCAGGCCUAACACAUGCAAGUCGAACGAGUGGCGGACGGGUGAGUAAUGUCUGGGAAACUGCCUGAUGGAGGGGGAUAACCAAUGGAAAGGGUAGCUAAUACCGCAUAUUAUUGGAGCGGCCCAUAUCGGAUUAGCUAGUUGGUGGGGUAAAGGCUCACCAAGGCGACGAUCCGUAGCGGGUCUGAGAGGAUGAUCCGCCACACUGGGACUGAGACACGGCCCAGACUCCUACGGGAGGCAGCAGUGGGGAAUAUUGGACAAUUGGCGCAAGCCUGAUGCAGCCAUGCCGCGUGUAUGAAGAAGGCCUUCGGGUUGUAAAGUACUUUUGUUAGGGAAGCGGUACCUGAAGAAUAAGCACCGGCUAACUCCGUGCCAGCAGCCGCGGUAAUUC